AUUUCAAUCAAAUUUCAAACUCUGAGAUAUCACAGCCCUAAAUACUACCCUGGAAAUUAAGUUUGAUUCUUUGAGUUUCCAUCUAUAACUAUGUGCCAAAAGAUAUAACUUGUGGUGAGAUCUCCUUGGACUUUACCACAUAUAUGAAUAUUAGUCCACAUUAUUGUACAGAAAACAGGAUUUUGGUAGGCCAGGUGUCAACAGUGGUUAGGUAGAAGUUACAUCUCAAUCUGUGGCUGGUUUUGACUGGUGAUGAGUGAUUUACAAUUUUAUCCUUAUAUUUCCAAAAUCCAGAUGCUUGCAUCUGAUCCACAAAUCUUAGGUCCACCAAAUCACCAGACCCUUUUAGUUGUCUGCUAAGUAUUUAAACAUGUAUAAGUUUUGGGUCUGUUUAGUAUUAUUAUUAAAAUUGAAAUACGAAAAAAAUACUUUCUUAAAUCAACUUUUUACCCCAAAACUUAAUGGCAAAGAUGACCUUAGUCUGAUAAUAAUUCUUCUGCCUCUCAACUUGGACAAAGUCUAAGUUUUAAGUCCUCCUUCCUCCUUCUCUUUAAAAAAAAUUAGAAAAAAAAAAAUUUAAAAAAAAAA
rnacentral:misc_RNA from 1 species